rnacentral:rRNA from 1 species
CAAAAACAUCUUUUCUUGUUAGUUUUUGAAGUAUGGCCUGCCCACUGACUUUGGUUAAAGGGCCGCGGUAUUUUGACCGUGCAAAGGUAGCAUAAUCAUUAGUUCUUUAAUUGUGAUCUGGUAUGAAUGGCUUGACGAGACAUAAGCUGUCUUAGGGAUAUGUUUUGUUGAAUUUAGUUUUUGAGUUAAAAUUCUUAAAUGUUUUUGUGGGACGAGAAGACCCUAUAGAGUUUGACAUAUUGCUUUGCUUUAUUUUAAUGUAGUUUGUUUUGUUUUGGUUUGUUAGGUUAUGUGUUUUGUUGGGGUGAUGGGAAGAAUGUUUUUAACUCUUCUUUGUUUUUGUAUAUUUAUUUAUGUUUGUUUGAUCCAUUUAUUUUGAUUGAAAGAUUAAAUUACCUU